rnacentral:rRNA from 1 species
UACGGAAGGGGCAAGCGUUGUUCGGAAUCAUUGGGCGUAAAGGGCGCGUAGGUGGUUCUGUAUGUCUACCGUGAAAGCGUACGGCUCAACCGUAUUUUGUCGGUGGAAACUGCAGGACUUGAGGCUGGGAGGGGCUGGUGGAAUUCCCUGUGUAGCGGUGAAAUGCGUAGAGAUAGGGGAGAACACUCGUGGCGAAGGCGGCCAGCUAGACCAGUUCUGACACUGAGGCGCGACGAGCGUGGGGGAGCAAACAACGG